rnacentral:misc_RNA from 1 species
UCAAACUUGGUCAUUUAGAGGAAGUAAAAGUCGUAACAAGGUUUCCGUAGGUGAACCUGCGGAAGGAUCAUUAACGUAUCUCUGGCGAGCGUCGUCGCGCCCUGCCGCGGUCCAAAAAGCCGCGCGGGCACCCGGCGCCGUCAAACCUUCACAAACCCACUGUGCACCUUUGCGGCAGAGGGCCUCGGGCGAGAGCUCGGGUCCGACGCCGAUCACAAACUCCAGUUCAAUAGAAUGACCAGCGACCAGCGUGUCGUCUAAAACACUUAACAACUUUCAACAACGGAUCUCUUGGCUCUCGCAUCGAUGAAGAACGCAGC